CAGAGCUUUUGGAUACGAAAGUACCCAAGAUGAGCUUACUAGUGUCUGAGCAAUCCUUAUUUGAUACCAACAUUAGUCAGAUCUCUCCAUAGGAUAAGUCCAAUGUUAAUUUUCUCUCUUCAUUGCUUUGUCAUUUUUUAUUUCAUCAUUUUCCUUCUUUAACAAUUUCUACAUUUGUUGUAUUAGCAAUAAUGAAGUUCAACCUGCAAAGGUUGGCUGAAUCAAAGAAGAGGAAGCAAGAUCUACCUGAUCAACUUGCUCCCAAGAAGAAUAAAGAGAAUGUUCCCCC
rnacentral:lncRNA from 1 species